AAGAGCAUCCUCUGUCUCAUUGGGGGACUGCGCCAGUCAGGUUUUGGUUUGAGAUAGGGUCUCCCUAUGUAAUUUAGGCUAGCUUUCAACUCACUAUGUAUCCCAGGCUGGCCUUGAACUCCUGGCAAUUCUCCUGCAUCAACCUCAGUUUUUUGUUUUGUUUGUUUGUUUUGUUUUGUUUUGCCUUUUUGAGACAAGGUCUUGCUGUGCAGUUCAGGCUGGCCUAGAGCUCACUUUAUAGCCUAGGCUGCUCUCGAACUCUCAAUGAUUCUCCUGCCUCAGCCUUUCGAGUUCUGGGAUUAUAGGCAUGAGCCACCACACCGGGCUUAGUUUUUUUUGUUUUGUUUUGUUUUGUUUUUGUACCAGGAAUUUAGGACCUCACACUUGCCAGCUACACACUGUAUAAUACGAUAAGAAUCUCCUGACGAAACAGCAAGACCACUGAGAUGUCAAGUGUGUCCUACAAAAAGGCCAGGAAAGCAAAAGACAUGUGCUGUCAGUGGCUGAGGUUACAGGCUUGAUGGGAAUAUUAUACUUCUGUUUUACCUUUAUGAAAGACCCAGAGCCAGAAG